rnacentral:rRNA from 1 species
UACGGAGGGUGCAAGCGUUGUCCGGAUUUAUUGGGUUUAAAGGGUGCGUAGGCGGCCCGUUAAGUUAGUGGUGAAAGCCUCCAGCUCAACUGGAGAACUGCCAUUGAUACUGACGGGCUUGAGUACAGACGAGGUUGGCGGAAUUGAUUGUGUAGCGGUGAAAUGCAUAGAUACAAUCAAGAACUCCGAUUGCGUAGGCAGCUAACUAGGCUGUAACUGACGCUGAGGCACGAAAGCGUGGGGAGCGAACAGG